ACUACGGGGGGCAGCAGUGGGGAAUAUUGCACAAUGGGGGAAACCCUGAUGCAGCGACGCCGCGUGAGUGAAGAAGUAUUUCGGUAUGUAAAGCUCUAUCAGCAGGGAAGAAAAUGACGGUACCUGAUUAAGAAGCCGCGGCUAACUACUGGCCCCCAGCCGCGGUAAUACGUAGGGGGCAAGAGUAAUCCGGAGUUACUGAGUGUAAAGGGAGCGUAGACGGCAGCACAAGUCUGGAGUGAAAUGCCUGGGGUUAACCCCGGUACUGCUUUGGAAACUGUGCAGCUAGAGUGCAGGAGAGGUAAGUGGAAUUCGCGGUGUAGCGGUGAAAUGCGUAGAUAUUAGGAAGAACACCAGUGGCGAAGGCGGCUUACUGGACUGUAACUGACGUUGAGGCUCGAAAGCGUGGGGAGCAAACAGGAUUAGAUACCCUAGUAGUC
rnacentral:rRNA from 1 species